CCCGGACCCUGUCGCACCA
rnacentral:snRNA from 1 species